GAUGAACGCUGGCGGCGUGCCUAAUACAUGCAAGUCGAGCGGCAGCACGGUCUUCGGACUGGUGGCGAGCGGCGGACGGCUGAGUAACGCGUAGGAACAUGCCCUAAAGUGAGGAAUAACUGCCCGAAAGGGUGGCUAAUGCCGCAUGUGCUCUUCGGAGUAAAGCUUUAUGCGCUUUAGGAGUGGCCUGCGUCCGAUUAGCUAGUUGGUGAGGUAAAUGCUCACCAAGGCGACGAUCGGUAGCUGGUCUGAGAGGAUGAUCAGCCAGACUGGAACUGAGAACGGUCCAGACUCCUACGGGAGGCAGCAGUAGGGAAUUUUCCACAAUGGGCGAGAGCCUGAUGGAGCAACGCCGCGUGCAGGAUGAAUGCCUUCGGGUUGUAAACUGCUUUUAUGUGCGAAGAAUUUGACUGUAACACAUGAAUAAGGAUCGGCUAACUACGUGCCAGCAGCCGCAGAAC
rnacentral:rRNA from 1 species